AUUGUGCUCUGCCAAUUGCAACACUAAAAAUUUGAUUGUGCUCUGCCAAUCGCAUCACUUGAUUUAAUUGAAUGUAUAUUAAAUACAUUUUGACACAUUUUUCCUUUUAUUUACUAUCGAAACUUCUAUUAGGGAAAACGAAAUCUUUGACAUACUUAUUCUAAUCAAUUCAAUUUAGGUGCCUACAGUUCAUGUAUGAUGAAUCUACUGGUUAGUGGUGACGACGCAGUCUUAACAUUGGAGUGAGCCAAUCUAAUCCAAGCAAAUGACGGUAAGAUGAUUUCGAUGAUGUCAAAACCGUUGGAGAGAUGGAUGCCUCAUCUACCCCUGGUUGGCUCACAAUACAUAUGAUUAUUCUGUUUGAUAUUUUUUCCUCCUCUUCAAUCAUUGUUGGUCUUCAGCUGUAUGAGGGAUUAAAUCCUGAAAAGUAGCGAAUAGUAUUGCCGAUCAGGCCAGGACCAUGUAAAAGUGUAACAUUCCUUCUCCGAGAACAAAUGGAGUUAAUUCUGCCACAAAAGAAAAGAAUGAACUGAUGAACUCGUUCACACUACCCCUCGCUCUUCAACUGUUGGAGAAAACUUCCUUCUAUCGCUGCUCGCAACACAGCAGAACUUGGUUUAAUUCUGUGCGCUAAAAUUUUGCAAACGAGGCCUAAAAUACUGUUAUGUAGGAUAGACUGUUAUGUAGGAUAGACGGAAUCGUUUCAGUAACUUUCUUGAUCAUCUUUAGAAACUCUUUCAACAACAUUGAUAAAGUCCAGUUUGCCUGCUGAAAUUUCAGAAUCUUGCUCUACUUUACGGAAGGCGCGAAUGUAAAAUCUAUGAAUUGUAAA